rnacentral:rRNA from 1 species
ACGCUCGACACCUACGGGAGCCAGCAGUGGGGAAUAUUGGGCAAUGGGCGAAAGCCUGACCCAGCAACGCCGCGUGAGGGAAGAAGGUUUUCGGAUUGUAAACCUCUGUCCUCAGGGACGAAGGACGUGACGGUACCUGAGGAGGAAGCCCCGGCUAACUACGUGCCGGCAGCCGAGGUAAUCUGAGCGGGCUGGCAAGGC